UAAACGAUAAACCACGAAAAAUCUUAUUUGGCUUAAAUAGUUUGUAUACCGUCAUUAUUAGAUAAUUUUGGAAGAGAUAAUUAUUGUAAUUAAAAUUAAUAACUUUAAGUAUAUUAGAUCAAGGUGCAGCUUAUAGGCAAGGAAAGGAUGGGUUACAAUAAAUUAAUUGUAUAUUCAAAUUUAAUAUGAUGAGUAGAAAUUGGCUCUAAGAUAUGUACAUAUCGCCCGUCGUCGCGGGAAAA
rnacentral:rRNA from 1 species